GGUCAUAUCAACCCAAUGCUCCAAUUCUCCAAACGUUUACAAUCCAAACGUGUUGAAAUCACUAUAGCACUCACAAAAUCUUUUUUGAAAAACAUGAAAGAAUUGCCAACUUCUAUGUCAAUCGAGGCCAUAUCUGAUGGCUACGAUGAUGGUGGUUUCCACCAAGCAGGAACUUUCGUAGCCUACAUAACGCGAUUCAAAGAAGUUGGCUCGGAUACUCUGUCUCAGCUUAUUCAAAAAUUAGCAAAUAGUGAAUGCCCUGUAAAUUGCAUAGUAUAUGAUCCAUUCCUUCCUUGGGCUGUUGAAGUGGCAAAGAAUUUUGGAUUAAUUAGUGCUGCAUUUUUCACACAAAAUUGUGCAGUGGAUAAUAUUUAUUACCAUGUACAUAAAGGGGUAAUAAAACUUACACCUACUAAAAAUGAUGAAGAAAUAUUAAUUCCUGGAUUAUCAUGUACAAUUGAGAGUUCAGAUGUACCUACUUUUGUUAUUAGUCCUGAAGCAGAAAGAAUACUUGAAGUGAUGGUAAAUCAAUUUUCAAAUCUUGACAAAGUGGAUUGGGUCCUAAUCAACAGCUUCUAUGAGUUGGAGAAACAGGUAACAUAUUUUUGUCGUUUUGGUGCUUCUUCUGUCUUUUUAACCAUUUAUAUAGAUGUUUAAUCAAAGUUAUACAAAAUUGAAGUGACAAAAUCAUAUGUUCAUUAAGGUUGUUAUAGUUUUCGUAGUAGCAAGAAUUAUUUUGGUCUCAUUUUGGUUGGAAUUAAGUGUACAACAUAUCUAACCUAUGUUUUUCUUUGUCUGUUCCAUUUCGCCUAAUUCACUAAAUCUUAUGAUUAUGACUAUAUAUUGAAUGUCUUUCUUAAAGGGGUGUCUGACCACUAUUUAGGUUAAUUCUUUUUUUAAUAAAUGUUCUCAAACAAACUUUUAAUACAUGUUAGAAUUUCGAAAGGAGUACUAAAAAAAAAUCAAGAGAUUCAAGAUAUAUCUUAUUUUGCUUGUAGGUAAUUGAUUAUAUGUCCAAGAUAUAUCCAAUCAAGACAAUUGGACCAACAAUACCAUCAAUGUACUUAGACAAGAGACUACAUGAUGACAAAGAGUAUGGUCUUAGUAUCUUCAAACCAAUGACAAAUGAAUGCCUAAAUUGGUUAAACCAUCAACCAAUUAACUCAGUGGUGUAUGUAUCAUUUGGAAGUAUAACCAACUUAGAAGCUGAGCAAAUGGAAGAAUUGGCAUGGGGUUUGAAGAAUAGCAACAACAACUUCUUGUGGGUUGUUAGGUCUACUGAAGAAUCCAAACUUCCCAAGGACUUUUUAGAGGUGUUGACACCCAAUUUUGGCCUAAUAUUUUCAAAAUUCGUAACUUUUAAGUUUUAUUUAUUUAAUAGUUCAAAAAAAAAGGGAUAGUUAGAAGAGAAGUUAUUGAAGAAUGUAUAAAAUUAGUGAUGGAAGAAGAGAAAGGAAAAUUAAUUAGGGAAAAUACAAAGAAAUGGAAAGAAUUGGCUAGAAAUGUUGUGGAUGAAGGAGGAAGUUCAGAUAAAAAUAUUGAAGAAUUUGUUUCCAAGUUGGUUACUAUAUCCUAAGUAAUUAAGAAGUUAAUUAAGAGCCAUAAAAAAUAAUUAAGAAGUUGGUUUGUCUUUUGUAAUUUCUUUUUCUCAUCAAAGUAGCAAAGUUUGACUUGAAUCUUCUUUUGUGGAAAGUGACAAGUUGUUAUGUUAUGCUUUAUUUGUUAUCUUACUUUUAAUGAACUUUUAAAUAUAAUUAGCUAAAACUUUGUUAAUUUAAAUUUCAAAUUUAUAAAUUAAUUAAGAUGAGCAAAUGAUUCUGGAUUAGAUAUCAGAAUUAGGCACUAAAGCUACUUAAUGCAAGAUAAACUAUAGAUAUGUUGGAUCCAGCUCUUCAUUGCGUGGAGCUAAUUAAUCUUUCCUCAAUUUUUCGGAAGUGAUAUCAAUAUUUUUAGAAGUAAACAAAAGAAUAAAUUAUUGUAUGGCUAGAUGAUAUGUUUUUCAUAUUUAUAACGACAACAUUUCCAAUAGAAUCCUACAGAUGAAUCUGUAUUUUUAUUUUUAUUUUCAUAUUUAUUUUAGAUAUAUUGUAUAUAAGUGAAUUCAUGUGUAUGGGAUACACCGACUCUCUCACUCAUUGCUCUCCUAUCUCACUUACCUCCCUCCUCUCUUGCUUGCCUCUAUCACUUGCCUUCCUCUCUCUCACUCACCUUGCUCCCUAUGUAUUUGUAUUUCAGAAUGUAUCUGGUAUAUAUUCCAGCUACGUGUAUCUAGUGUAAUUUGCAUGUAUUUGAGAUACACUGACACUCUCGCUCGUCUCUCCCCUUAUUUAUCUGUGUGUUUAGAGUGUAUUUAGUAGAAAAAUAUAUUUAUCUAGAUGUAUCCGACUUAAAAUUUGAUAUGAAAUUAUUCUUAGUGAGACGAUAUUUAAAUAUUUUAAGGUAGAGAGAGAAAAUAUUUACGUAAUUAGAUAGUUUUUCCAAAAGCUAAUCCAAUGCCAAUCCAUCAUAUCCAUCCUUCAACUCCAGUAAUUUGAUUCUCUUAUAGUCACUCCACUCCAAAAAAAAAAUAUAUAAAAUAAUUCAAAAUUGACCUACCUAUAUUAUAUUCUUGGUAUCCAAGUUUCAAUAAUAUAAUAUUGUUCUUAUAUAGAUUAAGAACAAAAUAAAAAAAUAUUUAGCUAUUCUCACUAUUUUUUGGGAUUAUAAUUGCAGUAAAUCAUGAUUCAACAAUACCACUGAUAUUUUGUGAAUACUAUUAAAGAUACAAGUAAUCACAGUAUUCAUGGUAUAUUAGAUAAUAAACAAAUAAAAUAUUUAGUAUAUUGAUAUAAAAAUAGUACUCACUUCCUUUGUUUCAAUUUAUUUUUCUUAUUUAUUUUUUAAAUACGUCUCAAAAAGAAUAUUUCUUUCCUUUCUUGGAAAUUCUUUAAUUCUAACUUUCCAUAUGACGUGUUUAAAACUACAAGAUUAAGUGACAUUUUGAUACAUUCUAUGUAUAUUUAAUUAAUCUAAAACCACAAGAUUAAAAAAGAAAAUCUUAAAUUUUGUGUCAAGUCAAAAUAAAAAAUAAAUAAAUUGAAAUGACAUAAAUAGUAUAUCAUUUGUUCAAUAUAAAAUCGUCCCCUUUCAAAUAAUUCAUGAUCAAAAUUGGCUCAUUUCUCUUGUUUUGGAGCAAUCAUUAGUAAGAAAAGUAUUUAUGAAUUAUUAAGUUAAUUAAAGGGUAUUUUUAAACUAGUUGUCUAACGAAAAUGAAUUUUGUUUUACCUAAAACAUAAUAAAAAUAAGCAAUUGUUAUAUUAAAAUAUUAUAUAAAAAGUAAAUACUACUACAUUCGUCCCUAUUUAUUUGUCAAAUAUUUUCUAAUUUGAUUUUUCUUUUUUACUUGUCAUUUUUGACAAAUCAAGAAAUGACAAUUUAUUUUUUCCUAUUAUACCCUCAAUUUAUUAACACCGUGUUCAUAUUUUUUAAAAAUGUAAUGAGUGUAAUAUUUUGAAUCAUAUCAAUUAAUAAGGACAAAAUGAUAAACUCACUAUAUCAAUAAAUAUUUUUUAAUAGAUGCGCCAAGUCAAAUGUAGACCUUAAAUAUCUAGAUCAAUGGCUACAAUUAUAUAUUUAUAUAGAAACUUAAGAUUUUAUUAUAACAAACAUAAAAUCAGUUUGAUUCGAUCAAUGGCUAGAUCCAGAUUUUCACUUAGAGAGUUCAAAAUAUAAAUAGGUAAAUAUACAAAGUAAUCAAGGAGCAUCAAUAUUUACAAUAUAAACAUAGAAAAUAAUUCUGACCUUAUAUAUGUAAUGUAAUUUUCAAAAUUAAAAGAAUUUGAAUGAACCCUUUACAGAACUCUAGUUUUGCCCAUGAAUACGGUAUGAUUCGAAUGGGGCAAUUAUUUGUAAAAAAUAAUUUUCAAUUUUAUCAUGUUCAUCUGGUCAAAUAUUUUAAAAAAGAAUUCUCUAAAAAAACAAGUUCAUUAAAAAUGAAUAGAAUAAGCUUCCUAAUGAAAGUAGGAAAAACAAAUUCUUCUACAAGUGACGUUCCACAUUGAUAAUGUCAUCCCCUCCCCGCACCUCAUCUCGCUCGCCACUCUCCCAGAUCUCGCUCGCCACUCUCCCAGAUCUCGCUCGCCACUCUCCCAGAUCUCGCUCGCCACUCUCCCAGAUCUCGCUCGCCACUCUCCCAGAUCUCGCUCGCCACUCUCCCAGAUCUCGCUCGCCACUCUCCCAGAUCUCGCUCGCCACUCUCCCAGAUCUCGCUCGCCACUCUCCCAGAUCUCGCUCGCCACUCUCCCAGAUCUCGCUCGCCACUCUCCCAGAUCUCGCUCGCCACUCUCCCAGAUCUCGCUCGCCACUCUCCCAGAUCUCGCUCGCCACUCUCCCAGAUCUCGCUCGCCACUCUCCCAGAUCUCACUCGCUCACUCGCCUCUCUCACUUUAUACAAACACAAAUGUAUACAUUGUGUUUGUGUUUGUAUAAAACAAGAGAAAAUUGUAUAUACAAAUACAAAUGCAUAUAUUUUCGUCCUAUACACUUAUGAUUAUACAAAUACGAUCUUCCCCUGCCCAGUUUUCUUUUGUCUUUCUCUCUUUCUCGCCUUAUACAAACACAAAUUAUACAAUUGAUCUUUUGUAUAUGUAUACCAAAGCAGAUUAUACAACUGCUUUCUUUUGCAUAUGUAUAGCGAAAUUAUACAACUGUUUUCUUUUGUAUAUGUAUAGCGAAAUAUAUAUAUUUAUAUUUGCUAUAGAGCGCAAUUAUGCAAACUAUAGUUAUAGCAUACAAAUAUGAUUUUUGUGUUUGCUAUAUGUGAAAGUAUCACCUGAUCUAAGAUUUGUAGAUUUGUAGAGUCACCCCCACCCCUUACUAUAUCUCAUAGUAUCUCUAAAUGAAAUACAAAUACUUUUAAGAUAAUUAUUUAAAAAAAAUCAUCUUAUUUACUAUAAAAUAUUUUCCAAGGCAUCCAAAAUAUGUCUCGAGCUGGAACAAUUUUUCGAGAAUUUAACACCACACAAUAAAUUGUUUGUAUUUCAAAAAUAAUUUGGCAAUAUGGACCAUAUUCAUAAGUACUAAUAGACACAUUUUGAAUUACUUAUCAUAAUUGUUUCUCGAGAGAGUCAAAUUACAUAUAUUUUGAUAUAUUUCUAUUAUAUAUUUUUUUCAAGAAAUAAUAUAAAAAAUUAUAACUUAUAGUAUAAAAACCACAUUUCGCCACAGGAUUUUCCCAUCCUUCAACGAAUAAAAUAACUUUCUAAGAUAAUACUUGAGUGACCAAUUGAGAAAUUGCAAAAGAUGAGUACUAGUCACAAAGCUCAUUGCUUGAUUUUACCCUAUCCAUUUCAAGGUCAUAUUAACCCAAUGCUUCAAUUCUCCAAACGUUUACAAUCCAAACAUGUUGAAAUCACUAUAGCACCUACAAAAUCCUUCUUGAAAAAAAUGAAAGAACUGCCAACUUCUGUGUCAAUCGAGGCCAUAUCUGAUGGCUACGAUGAUGGUGGCAUCGACCAAGCAAAAACAUAUGAAGCCUACCUAACGCGAUUCAAAGAAGUUGGCUCAGAUACUCUGUCUCAGCUUAUACAAAAAUUGGAAAAUAGUGGAUGUCCUGUAAAUUGCAUAGUAUAUGAUCCAUUUCUCCCUUGGGUUGUUGAAGUGGCAAAAAAAUUUGGAUUAAUUAGUGCUGCAUUUUUCACACAAAAUUGUACUGUGGAUAAUAUUUAUUACCAUGUACAUAAAGGGGUAAUAAAACUUCCACCUACUCAAAAUGAUGAAAAAAUAUUAAUUCCUGGAUUUUCAUGUCCAAUUGAGGCAUCAGAUGUACCUACUUUUGUUAUUUAUCCUGAAGGAGAAAGAAUACUUCAAGUGUUGGUCAAUCAAUUCUCAAAUCUUGAUAAAGUUGAUUGGAUUCUAAUCAACAGCUUCUAUGAGUUGGAGAAAGAGGUAACAAUUUUUUUUCCGUUUUGGUGCUUCUUCGGUUUUUUCAACCAUUAAUAUAAAAAAUGAACUGACAAAAUCAUAUGUUCAUUAAGGAUGUUAUAGUAUUCGUGGUAGCAAGAAUUUAUGAUUAUGACUAUAUAUUGAAUGUUUUUCUUAAAAGGGUGUCUGACGACUAUUUAGGUUAAUUCUUUUUUUAAUAAAUGUUCUCAAAGAAACUUUGAAUACAUGUUAGAAAGGAGUAUUAAAAAAAAUUCAAGAGAUUUCAAGAUAUAUCUUAUUUUGUUUAUCAUGUAGGUAAUUGAUUGGAUGUCCAAGAUAUAUCCAAUAAAGACAAUUGGACCAACAAUACCAUCAAUGUACUUAGACAAGAGACUACAUGAUGACAAAGAGUAUGGUCUUAGUAUCUUCAAACCAAUGACAAAUGAAUGCCUAAAUUGGUUAAAUCAUCAACCAAUUAGCUCAGUGGUGUAUGUAUCAUUUGGAAGUUUAGCCAAAUUAGAAGCUGAGCAAAUGGAAGAAUUAGCAUGGGGUUUGAAGAAUAGCAACAACAACUUCUUGUGGGUUGUUAGGUCCACUGAAGAAUCCAAACUUCCCAAGAACUUUUUAGAGGAAUUAACAAUUGAAAAAGGACUAGUGGUGUCAUGGUGUCCACAAUUACAAGUGUUGGAACAUGAAUCGAUAGGAUGUUUUCUGACGCACUGUGGGUGGAAUUCAACUUUGGAAUCGAUUAGUAUGGGAGUGCCAAUGGUGGCAAUACCACAAUGGACAGAUCAACCAACAAAUGCAAAACUUGUGAAGGAUGUUUGGGAAAUAGGUGUUAGAGCCAAACAAGAUGAAAAGGGUAUAGUUAGAAGAGAAAUUAUUGAAGAAUACAUAAAAUUAGUAAUGGAAGAAGAGAAAGGAAAAUUAAUUAGGGAAAAUGCAAAGAAAUGGAAGGAAAUGGCUAGAAAUGUUGUGGAUGAAGGAGGAAGUUCAGAUAAAAAUAUUGAAGAAUUUGUUUCCAAGUUGGUGACUAUUUCUUAAGUAUGGAAUUAAAUAAGAGUCAUAAAAAAUAAUUAAUAAGUUGAUUUGCAUUUUGCAAUUUCUUUUUUUUUUAAUUAAAGUCGCAAAGUUUGACUUAUAUUCCAUGAAUAUUAUUUUAAUUAUACAAAAUUGCUUCACUAAUUCAAAUAUUACAUUAACUUACUAACUUAUUCGAGGUUAUAAUACAUUAUACAUGCUCAACAAUCUAACCCGAUCGUUAUGAAUAGGUCCAUAGGGAAAGAAAUUGGGCCAGAAAUUUUUUUGGAUAGUAAUUUGAAAUUCUUGGCUAGACCAGUCUUAGAUGAAAUCUGGGCUAGGUGAGGUCUAGGGCUAUCCGGGAAGGAUGGGGUAUUUUGUUGAGAUUCGACUCAUGUAUACUUGUAGUCAAGACAUAAAAGAGUCCAUAAUAUAAGGCCUUUACGAUUGACUCGGAUACCACGCUUGAUAUGACACUGAAGUUUGAUUUGGGUUCCGUAAGAGAAUCAGGUAUGCGAUAUGGUUCCAUGAGAGGAUCAGGCUUUGGCAUUAUAUAUUAUCACGAUCUGAGUCUACAUCACAGCCGAGACAUGGCACAUGAAACCACAAGUGAUCCCAAGCUAACCCUUGACAUAUCAUAUCUAAGCAUAGCAUAUGAAAACUGAAGCAGAAGCUAUAAAUUGAAAGCAUAAUUGAAAUAAAGUUCAAGAAUAAGUCUAUUACAAUUGAAUACUAAUGUCUAAAAGCCUCUAAACUGAAUAAAGCGAUUUGUCGAGACAAGACCCCAGACUGCUUGAAAAACUAACACAACUAAAGUGAAUAAAAUAUAGUCACCCAUAACGGAAGUCCUCUGAAUGCAAUGAAGACUCACUACAAUGCUAAAAGUAGAGGAACUUAGUGGAACGUCUUCUCGCAAAUCUAAAUCAAGAUGCUAAAAUCUACAUCAUAAAACAAUGUAUCGCAAAGUAGAGUCAAUAUAUGGAAUAUAUUGAUAUGCAGGGUAAGGACUGAGAUGAACAAUUAUAUGAGAAACUGAAAGAACUAUAAAUCUGAGCAUGAGUUAUACACAAACAAUAGCUAAAGAAUUGGGAGUCAAAAACACCAAAUUUUAUGUGGAAAAAUCCUUCAAAUCGAAGAUAAUAAUCAAGGAAUUGUCGAGAUCCAAAUUGUUUCACUAGUCAAUAGGAGGGUUAAAAAUAUUCUCCUAAAUGGCUACACAACAAUUGCCAAACACAAAAGCAAUAGAUACACCAACAAAAGUAAAUAGAAAGAAUACACCCAAACUCGUUUGUUGUUCGGGACUUGAAAUUGGACUAUGCUGACCACUGAAUCUGAUAGACACCAUUCCAAACCAAAGACCAAGAUGUUAGGAACACUCAAUAAAAGUUUUAGUCUGAUCAAACGAUUAACAAAUUAGGAAAUAUGAUUUAAAGGUUGCUAGUCGGAGAAAAAGACUACAGAAAAAAAAUCAUUUUCUUCUCUCUUCUUUCUUGUUGAAAAUUCUCUCAAAAAUCUCUCUUUUGUGCAAAUAGUAAUGAACAAUUGAAUAAUUCUCUCAAAUGAUAAUUUCUAGAUAACGAAUUGGUGUUUUUCUUCUAAAAUCAAAACCAACUUCAAAUAGGACCAAAAUUUCAAUCAUUUUUCAAACAAGAUUAAAAUUCCAUCUUUUCCAAAUAGGAUUGAAAAAAAAGAAAAAAAAAUAGAAUUAGGUCAUGGGUCUGUGGCUGGAACAUGAGCCAUAACCCAACAGUAUUGUCUGAUGAACGAUGACUUUUUCAUUUAGAGUAAAGUCAUUGCCAACCUCUGUCCUACCUAUAUCUGUAAAAAGGAAUCAAUCACUAAGUUCUGAGCAAUAAAAGUUGGUAUCGACAAUAUAUUGUUACUACUUUUAUAGAAGAGUUUACAAGUAUGCAUGUCUUCGUCAACAUGCCUACUUGUAUGGCGAAGAGUAUUUUUGAUAUUUUUUAGUUCUUGUUCUUUAAAACUUGAGUUAAAAAUCUACUUAAAUUAUCUUUUGUUUAAUUAGUCUCAUAUCUAAAUUGUGUUUGUCAAACUAAUAAGUAAAUUUUUAACUGUAUUUCUCACACUCACAACAAUUUAGCUAUGAAACUCGAAAAACAAAUAGUUUAAAUGUGUUUUUGGAAGUAUCUUGCUGCUUAUUUUAUGUACUUUUUCUCUGUUGUACUUGGACACAAAAAAAAACAAUAUUUGCAUAGUGACCUGUAUUUCCCCAUUAAAGAUAUAGACUUUUAGUUGAGACAUUGACCUACUUUUCCAUUUAAUAUUGGGAAAAGGAUCUCUCAACUUUCAUUUAUUAGUUGAUUUUACUUUUAUCGUUAAAAUAAAGUUAUUUCAUGACAUUUCAUUAGGAAAGGAGUAUAUUUUGAGGAAAAUAGAAAUAAUUGGGUGAUAUUUAGAUCCUAAAAAAACAAAAGUGAUAUUAUAGGACAAAUUCUCAAACAAGAGUGACUAUCUAAAGAAAUUACCCUCAAAUUUCUCUGCAUGACAUAAAUUGAGACAAAAAAAAUAACAUAUAUUGAGUUCAUGCUGCCACGAGCUCCUAUAACUAGUAUUGGUAAGAUUUAUAUGUCACUAGUACAUUGUACCCAAUAAUUGCCUUAUGUCAUUGCACAUGUUGGCAAUAAAAAGUUGGAAUAUACAAUAGGAAGAAGCCAACACACUUUGUAAGGCAUAUUGAUCCAAAUUGUACACUUCAACUCUAUCGACUAACUAUAAGAACCACAAGAUUUUCCCAUCCAUAAAUUGUCAUUCCUUCAAUUGAGAAGUUGCAUAAGAUUUUAAGAAGAACGAAAACGAUUUCUACAUCGUACUUACUAGGGUUGAUUUCUCAGAUAAUUAUUUAGCUUAAGUUGAUCAUAAAGCAUCUUUCUUCUUGAUUGAUUUUUCCUUCAGCCAUUAAUUGAGAAGUAGCAAGAGAUGACUACUCACCAGGCUCACUGUUUGAUUUUGUCAUAUCCAGUCCAAGGUCAUAUCAACCCAAUGCUCCAAUUCUCCAAACGUUUACAAUCCAAACGUGUUAAAAUCACUAUAGCACUCACAAAAUCCUUUUUGAAAAACAUGAAAGAAUUGCCAACUUCUAUGUCAAUCGAGGCCAUAUCUGAUGGCUAUGAUGAUGGUGGUCGCGAUCAAGCAGGAUCUUUCGUUGCCUAUGUUACACGAUUCAAAGAAGUUGGCUCGGAUACUCUUUCUCAACUUAUUCAAAAAUUGGCAAAUAGUGGAUGCCCUGUAAAUUGCAUAGUAUAUGAUCCAUUCCUCCCUUGGGCUGUUGAAGUUGCAAAGAAUUUUGGAUUAAUUAGUGCUGCAUUUUUCACACAAAAUUGUGCUGUGGAUAACAUUUAUUACCAUGUACAUAAAGGGGUAAUAAAACUUCCACCUACUCAAAAUAAUGAAGAAAUAUUAAUUCCUGGAUUUUCAAGUCCAAUUGAGGCAUCAGAUGCACCUACUUUUGUUAUUGAUCCUGAAGCAGAAAGAAUACUUGAAAUGUUGGUCAAUCAAUUCUCAAAUCUUGACAAAGUGGAUUGGGUCCUAAUCAAUAGUUUCUAUGAGUUGGAAAAAGAGGUAACAUAUUCUUUGGAGUAUUUUUUUUUCUUUUAUGUAUAUAUAGUAGAUAUUGAAUCUCCUCUACUUUUUCGUAUGUUUACUUCUUCAUAUUUUGAAUCUUCCUAGUGAAAAUCCUGACUCAACCACUGACAAUAGAGAAAACAUUGAAGGAAUUAAAUCACAUAAUACCUCAGAC
rnacentral:lncRNA from 1 species